ensembl:snRNA U6 U6 spliceosomal RNA
GUGAUUGCCUUGGCAACACGUAUGAAAAAUUGGAAUCGAUACAGAGAAGAUUAGCAUGGCCCCUGCGCAAGGAUGACACGCAAAUCCGUGAAGCGUUUCCAUCUUUU